UACUGGGUCAGACCAAAGGUCCAUCUAGCCCAGUAUCCUGUCUUCCGACAGUGGCCAGUGCCAGGUGCCCCCGAGGGAAUGAACAGAACAGGUAAUCAUCAAGUGAUCCAUUCCCUGUCGCUCAUUUCCAGCUUCUGCAAACAGAGGCUAGGGACACCAUCCCUGCCCAUCCUAGCUAAUUGCCAUUGAUGGACCUAUCCUCCAUGAACUUAUCUAGUUAUUUUUUUUGACCCCUGUUAUAGUCUUGGCCUUGGUCUCCAUGAAGAACACUCAUCAUGCCAGCUCCUACAAUGUAACCAGUUGAGCUUUCCAGAAGCGGUCUGUGUCUUGCUACUAGACCCUGGGACAAAGAGCCCGACAUUCAUGGGGUUUCCUUUGCCUCCUUUAGGGAGUGGACGCAGUACCCUGGGACCAAUCACACACCAUAAAUAGUCAAAGUGAAGAGUUUGCAAGCAAGACAGAUGUUACUGGUCUGAAAUAGUCCGUGAGUGCCCAGUAUCAUAAUGGGCUGAUUUGGGGAGAAAAAACUCAGAUUGGCGUUGGAAAGAUACACUUUAAUUACCAUGCAUCAUAUCACCUCCGAACAUGGAACCUUACUUUGUUAGGAAGAG
rnacentral:lncRNA from 1 species